rnacentral:rRNA from 1 species
AUUGAACGCUGGCGGCAGGCCUAACACAUGCAAGUCGAGCGAGCGGCGGACGGGUGAGUAAUGUAUGGGGACUGCCCGAUAGCGGGGGAUAACUACUGGAAACGGUGGCUAAUACCGCAUACUAUCGGAUAACCCAUAUGGGAUUAGCUAGUUGGUGGGGUAAAGGCUCAACAAGGCGACGAUCUCUAGCUGGUUUGAGAGGAUGAUCAGCCACACGGGGACGGAGACACGGCCCAGACUCCUACGGAGGCAGAAGUGGGGAAUCUUGGACAAUGGGGGCAAGCCGGAUGCAGCCAUGCCGCGUGUAUGAAGAAGGCCGUAGGGUUGUAAAGUACUUUCAGCGGGGAGGCGUUACCCGCAGAAGAAGCACCGGCUAACUCCGUGCCAGCAGCCGCGGUAAUAC